UUAACCUUGGGGUGUGCGUCAGCGGAUUAACGUCCCCGAGCCGAUAAGCAAAUACCCAGGAUUUACUUUUAUUAGCUACUGAGCAUGCUCAGCUCGUACUGAGAAGCCUACGGUUAGUGUUGUAAAUCCACCUUGAACUUCUGGUUCAAGGGCCACAAUUCGCAACGGCACCCUGGGGUACAC
rnacentral:other from 1 species